rnacentral:misc_RNA from 1 species
UUUCCGUAGGUGAACCUGCGGAAGGAUCAUUGUCGAAACCUGCCCAGCAGAACGACCCGCGAACUUGUAUAAACAACUGGGGGCGGGGGGCGUUCUCGCCCCGUGCCCCCGAACGGCGGGGAGACACUCGUGCCUUCUUGCCGAACAACGAACCCCGGCGCGGUCUGCGCCAAGGAACUUCAACUAAAGAGUGCCUCCGGUCGCCUCGGAAACGGCGUGCGUGCCGGAGGCGAAUCUUGUGCAAAACCAUAACGACUCUCGGCAACGGAUAUCUCGGUUCUC